rnacentral:misc_RNA from 1 species
UUAAGUUCAGCGGGUAUUCUUGCUUGAGCUGAGGUCAUAAAAAAAAAUAUAUACUCGCACAAAACUUUAAAAGGCCAAGCACGCGCAUAAUAUAUUAAAGAUGGACAAGUUGUCAGCGAACCACACAUAUAGCACGUUUUCAACUUGUACCAAGUAAUAAAUAAUUUUAAAGUCACCAACAUUUAUUUUUUAAUAAUAAAUACUGGAAAACUCAAAUCCGCGAAAAAAUUCACGAAUGUUAUUUUAAUGACCCUCAACCAAGCAUACUUCCCAGAUUACUGAAAAGUACAAUUUGUGUU